rnacentral:RNase_P_RNA from 1 species
GCAGUCGGACGGUCUGUCGCUGAUGCCUCUGGCAGAAGAGGAAAGUCCGGGCAACACAGAGCAUCCUACUUCCUAACGGAAAGCUGUCUGUAAAGGUGGAGUAAUGCAGAAGAAAAUAACCGCCAUAUCUUGAUAUGGUAAGGGUGAGAAGGUGGAGUAAGAGCCCACCAGUCGCAUGGUGACAUGUCGAGCUGUGCAUCUUAGGAGUUGUAAGGUCAUGUAAACCGGCAUCAACGAGGGUUGCUCGCCCCACGUCGGAGGGUAGACCGCUAGAGCCUAUUGGUGACAAUGGGCGUAGAUAAAUGACAGACAUCUUGUUCAAGCAAGAAACAGAACCCGGCUUAUAGGCUGGCUGCUUUU